AGACUCAAUCCCUCGGGUUUCCGAGGAGAUUGGACUUGGGCGCUGCCGCUCUGACGGCUCGCCUUAAAAGACUUAGCGGGAUAGCACCGUAGUCGGCGUAAUAAAUUUCGUCGGUGAAGGUUGUGAUGACUGCUUACAAUCGCCCUCGGGCAAUUUUUGA
rnacentral:misc_RNA from 1 species